GACGAACGCUGGCGGCGUGCUUAACACAUGCAAGUCGAACGGAAAGGCCCUGCUUUUGUGGGGUGCUCGAGUGGCGAACGGGUGAGUAACACGUGAGUAACCUGCCCUUGACUUUGGGAUAACUUCAGGAAACUGGGGCUAAUACCGGAUAGGAGCUCCUGCUGCAUGGUGGGGGUUGGAAAGUUUCGGCGGUUGGGGAUGGACUCGCGGCUUAUCAGCUUGUUGGUGGGGUAGUGGCUUACCAAGGCUUUGACGGGUAGCCGGCCUGAGAGGGUGACCGGACACAUUGGGACUGAGAUACGGCCCAGACUCCUACGGGAGGCAGCAGUGGGGAAUAUUGCACAAUGGGCUGAAGCCUGAUGCAGCAACGCCGCGUGCGGGAUGACGGCCUUCGGGUUGUAAACCGCUUUCGCCUGUGACGAGGCGUGAGUGACGGUAAUGGGUAAAGAAGCACCGGCUAACUACGUG
rnacentral:rRNA from 1 species